GACGAACGCUGGCGGCGUGCUUAACACAUGCAAGUCGAGCGGAAAGGCCCUUUCGGGGGUACUCGAGCGGCGAACGGGUGAGUAACACGUGAGUAAUCUGCCCUUGGCUUUGGGAUAACCACCGGAAACGGUGGCUAAUACCGGAUACGACCACUCCCGGCGUCGGGUGGUGGUGGAAAGUUUUUUCGGCCAGGGAUGUGCUCGCGGCCUAUCAGCUUGUUGGUGGGGGAAUGGCCUACAAAGGCUUCGACGGGUAGCCGGCCAGAGAGGGUGACGGGCCAGACUGGGACUGAGACACGGCCCAGACUCCUACGGGAGGCAGCAGUGGGGAAUAUUGGACAAUGGGCGGAAUCCUGAUCCAGCCACGCCGCGUGAGGGAUGACGGUCUUCGGGUUGUAAACCUCUUUCAGUACCGACGAAGCGCUGAUGAUGGCGGUGACGGUAGGUACAGAAGAAGCACCGGCCAACUACGUGCCAGCCGCCGCAGUAA
rnacentral:rRNA from 1 species